GGUGUAGCGUAGCCCGGUCAUCGCGCCUCGUUUGGGACGAGGAGGUCGCAGGUUCGAAUCCUGCCACC
rnacentral:ncRNA from 14 species